ACUGGUAGCUAUAACAGUUCACAUAUUUGCUUCAGAGGAUAGUUGGACAAUCCAUUUUUGCAUAAGACUCUCAAAGAUCUUUUUAUAGGAAGCCCACCAAGAUACCGCAAGCAAGCAAUGUAGUCUUUGUUUCACAUUCAGGAGUCCUUCACUCAAUCAUGCAUCUAUUAUAUUUAAACUGAAUAAACAUUUUUUGUGAUUCUGUCUCACUUUCAAAUUCAAUCUGCUAAAUCUGAUCUGUAAAAGCUUUGCAGAUAGGCCCAAUAUUUCGUAAAUUAUGGAAGUUCAGCAAUUCUGAUGUCCUAAACGAAUGAAAGAAAAUAUUUGAAACAUUUUCCAACAAUACAUAUUUAUAAAUUCAAUUUAUAUUUUCAAGUCCUGCUUUUUUGUUCUGAAUUUUGUUCUAUAGCAAGUUUUCAUAUCCUCUGGAGAAAAGAUGUUCCUUCUUUAAGACAUUUUCCUCAGUGUCCUUAAUAACGAUAGUAAAGGUCCUUCUUUGACAGGUCCUGGCUUUUGCAAUGCCUUACUCUUCA